GUCUUAUUUAAAUGAACUGCAUUUUACCCCUAUAAAUGCUUGACAUAUCUAGUUUUUAGCAAAGUUAACUAUUCUACCAGCUGAGAACAUAACUGAUACUGUUAUGUCUUUCCCCUUUUUGUCUUCAAUUUUAACAUAUUUUGUUAAUUUUUAAUCUCUAUAACUUUUCCACUCUAAAUGCUGCCUACAGUGUAGUUUAGAUAUCCCCGGAACCCCCUUUUUUUUGAAAAUCUUUGGAUCUGCAAUUGAAAUUCAUGACGCUACCACCGUAGUUGUAAUUAUUUGAUAUAAAUUGCAUCACAUGUACAAGAGAACGACACAUGAG
rnacentral:lncRNA from 1 species